UACGAAGGGUGCAAGCGUUACUCGGAAUUACUGGGCGUAAAGGGUGCGUAGGUGGUCGUUUAAGUCCGUUGUGAAAUCCCUGGGCUCAACCUGGGAAUGGCAGUGGAUACUGGACGGCUAGAAUGCGGUAGAGGGUAGUGGAAUUCCCGGUGUAGCAGUGAAAUGCGUAGAUAUCAGGAGGAACACCUGUGGUGUAGACAGCUUACUGGACCAUUUCUGACGCUGAGACACGAAAGCGUGGGUAGCAAACAGG
rnacentral:rRNA from 1 species